UAGGCAGGCGCAUUGGAAAAUACCAG
rnacentral:piRNA from 1 species